rnacentral:rRNA from 1 species
UACAGAGGUCUCAAGCGUUGUUCGGAUUCAUUGGGCGUAAAGGGUGCGUAGGUGGCGCCAUAAGUCGGGUGUGAAAUCUCGGGGCUUAACUCCGAAACUGCAUUCGAUACUGCCGUGCUUGAGGACUGGAGAGGAGACUGGAAUUUACGGUGUAGCGGUGAAAUGCGUAGAUAUCGUAAGGAAGACCAGUGGCGAAGGCGGGUCUCUGGACAGUUCCUGACGCUGAGGCACGAAGGCCAGGGGAGCAAACGGGG